rnacentral:rRNA from 2 species
GUGACCUCAAAUCAGGUAGGACUACCCGCUGAACUUAAGCAUAUCAAUAAGCGGAGGAAAAGAAACUAACAAGGAUUCCCCUAGUAACUGCGAGUGAAGCGGGAAAAGCUCAAAUUUAAAAUCUGUCAGUCUUUGGCUGUCCGAGUUGUAAUCUAGAGAAGCGUUAUCCGCGCUGGACCGUGUACAAGUCUCCUGGAAUGGAGCGUCAUAGAGGGUGAGAAUCCCGUCUUUGACACGGACUGCCAGGGCUUUGUGAUGCGCUCUCAAAGAGUCGAGUUGUUUGGGAAUGCAGCUCAAAAUGGGUGGUAAAUUCCAUCUAAAGCUAAAUAUUGGCGAGAGACCGAUAGCGAACAAGUACCGUGAGGGAAAGAUGAAAAGAACUUUGGAAAGAGAGUUAAACAGUACGUGAAAUUGCUGAAAGGGAAACGCUUGAAGUCAGUCGCGUUGUCCAGGGAUCAACCUUGCUUUUGCUUGGUGUACUUUCUGGUUGACGGGUCAGCAUCAAUUUUGACCGUUGGAAAAAGGUCAGGGGAAUGUGGCAUCAUUAGAUGUGUUAUAGCCCUUGGUUGUAUACAAUGGUUGGGAUUGAGGAACUCAGCACGCCGCAAGGCCG